rnacentral:rRNA from 1 species
UAAGUAAGUGGUGGAAAUUAAACCAACUGGGAUCUCUUCAGUAAUUGCGCAUGAACCAGGAUAUGCUUAGCUUGACAAAUGGAGCUGCUGGCUCUGAAUUGUAUUGUGGGAAUGUAUUACCAACAGAGGUGCAGGUCACACUCCUUGGCAUUGGAAUGCAAAGUGGGUGGUAAGUUUCAUGCAAAGGUAAAUAUGCAAUUGAGACUGAUAGCGCACAAGUACCAUGAGGGACAUAUGAAAAGGACUUUGAACAGAGAAUUAAAUGAGUUUGUAUUUGCUAAACACAAAGUAAACAGACUUGAUUUCCUCAGUGAGAUUGUAGUGCUUGCUUAACAAUGGGUUUUGCCUGCAAGUGCAAUAAUUCUUGCUUUGUGUGCCAGUUUUUAUGUGGACAUUUGAUUACCUUUGCACAUGAAUGGUAAUUUUCUGCGGGGUGUGGAUUGCAUAUGCAUGUAAUGAUUUGCAUGUUUGUUAAAUGUGUCUGGUGUAUUUGUUUGUGUCCUUGUCCUUGAGGUUGCUUUCUCCCUUGGGCUUACAUGCCCUGGCACACACAUUCUGACAAAAUGCUUCUGCUUGGCCCG